UUAAAAAGCUCGUAGUUGAAUUUCGGGAUCAAGACGUCGGUCGUGCUUUCGGGUACGUACUGGCGUCAUUGGUUUCUUCUUUCUGAUGAACCAUGAUGUCAUUAAUUUGGUGUUAUGGGGAGUUAGGACUGUUACUUUGAAAAAAUUAGAGUGUUUAAAGCAGGCAUUAGCUUGAAUACAUUAGCAUGGAAUAAUGAAAUAGGACGUUCGAUCCUAUUUUGUUGGUUUCUAGGAUCAACGUAAUGAUUAAUAGGGAUAGUUGGGGG
rnacentral:rRNA from 1 species